AUAGAAACAGAAAAGAGAUAAGUGCUUGCCAGUGGUUGGGUAUUGGAGGAAUGGGAAUGGCUGCUAAUUGGUACGGUGUUUAUAAUGUGAUGAAAUGUUUUGGAAAGAGAUACUGGAGAUGAUUGCCCAACCUCGUGAAUAUAUUAACAUCGACUGAAUUGUACCCUUUAAAAUGGUAGACUUCAUGAUUGUGCAAGAGGAAGAUGUAUGUCACGUCAAAGAAUUAUUUGCUAGUCCUAAGUCCUGAAAUUUCUAUUUUUUCCUAAACAUUUUAUGGUUUUAUAUUUUACAUAUAAGUUCAUGAGUUAAUUUUUGCAUAAAGUAUGCGUUUUAAGUUGAGCUUCUUUUUUUUGCUUACAAAUGUCACUUUGACAAAUUUUAAAACUGAGUUAUCUUUAUUACUGAGUUGUAAGAAUUCUUUCCAUCCCCUAGAUACACAUCCUUUGUCAGAUGUAUGUAUUACAAAUAUUUUCUUUUGGUCCUGGCUUGUUUAUUCAUUUGCUUAACGGUGUCUCUUAUGGUUUUACAUUUUGAUUAAACCCAAUGUGUUAGUUUUUUUGAGGUUGGUACUUUUCGGUCUCAUGGAAAAAAAUCUUUGCCAACCCCACAGUCAUGAAGAUAUUCUUCUGUUUUUCUCUAGAAGCCUUUUAGUUUUAGCUUUUGAGUUUAGGUCCAUGAUGCAUCUCAAAAUUAGUUUUUUGUGUAGCAUGAGGCAGGAACUGGAGUGGUUCUUUCACUCUGCCCACCGCUGGCCACUCCUCCGCUCAGGAGGGAGGGUGCGAGCGAGCAAGUGCAGGAACUGAAGCGAACAAACACUGGAACUGGCCAGAGUCCAAGCAUGUUAUGACCAAUACUCUGUCAGAUCAGCCGUCCAGGGACAGGGGAGUGCCAACCAGCUCACUGGAGGGUCAAGGUGGCAGCCUCUGACCUCUCAGCACCCAGGUUCUUGUCCAGCAUCCAGGAAGAAUCAAGUCACAUGAACUGUUUGAGAGGUUGAUGAAUGCAGAAGACUUUAUUGAGCAGUGGUUGGCUCUCAGCAGAAAAGGAGACUGAAAAGCGGUCGGGAAAAUGAUCUCUCUCUCCCUGAAGCCCGGCUGCCCCUCUCUGAAGCAGCCCUGUCUGAAGUUAGCCACAUCUAUCCAUAGUCUCCAACGUUCAGUUGCUUCUCUGCUCGCUGCUCAGCCACUUGUGUUGCUCUGCCAGCUGAAGUCUUCUAUGGGCACAGGAUAGGAGCAUGGCAGGCCAAAAAGGUAACUUCAUCUUGACAUUCUGCAAAACAUAAUUCUGGUCGACUACAUGAGUGGCAUGAUGCUAAUGUGACUUAUGAGCAAGAAGUGGCAAAUACCCUACAUGCCCAAAUCCGUGCAAUCUCUGGCACUAGGGGGUCAUCUGGGUUUGGAUCACAUAGCAGUGAACAAAUGGAUAAAAGAACUGCAAGAAAACAAAAACAUCUGUUACCCAGUUUCAGGAGUUUGGAUAAAUAAAUUUUUCUAAACCGUGUAUUAC